AUGGCCUGUUUUUCACUCGGGUCUCUGCCCUGUCAUUGGCUGGAACUGUCCCACCUGAUCUUGCCGCCUCCUGCCUGCCUUCCAUCAUUCAGGGCAUAUAUUUCCAUUUUUGAGCGGUCACCCGAAUAUCUUGUCAAUAUAAUAGACCAUCUUUGGCUUGUUUUGUUGAAUGAAGCAACCGACUGCAGACGAAAGUCGAGGAGUGAAGUCUGGAGAGGUGCGUCUGCUACAGCCGAAAGUCGGAGACUGGUUUCUUAGUACGUGUCAUUGAUGGGAGUUGCUGGAGUACGAAUGACAA
rnacentral:lncRNA from 1 species